rnacentral:tRNA from 1 species
GGGUGAUUAGCUCAGCUGGGAGAGCAUCUGCCUUACAAGCAGAGGGUCGGCGGUUCGAUCCCGUCAUCACCGC